CCUACGGGAGGCAGCAGUGGGGGAUAUUGAACAAUGGGGGAAACCCUUAUGCGGCGAUGCGGCGGGAAUGAAGACGGCUUUCGGGUUUAAAGGUUCUGUCGCAGGGGACGAAAAUGACGGUACCCUGCAAGAAGGCUCCGGCUAACUAGGUGCCAGCAGCCGCGGUAAUAGGUAGGGAGCAAGCGUGGUCCGGAAUUACUGGGUGUAAAGGGAGCGUAGGCGGGAGGAAAAGUUGAAUGUGAAAUCUAUGGGCUCAACCCAUAGCUGCGUUCAAAACUGUUCUUCUUGAGUGAAGUAGAGGCAGGCGGAAUUCCUAGUGUAGCGGUGAAAUGCGUAGAUAUUAGGAGGAACACCAGUGGCGAAGGCGGCCUGCUGGGCUUUUACUGACGCUGAGGCUCGAAAGCGUGGGUAGCAAACAGGAUUAGAUACCCUUGUAGUC
rnacentral:rRNA from 1 species